GGAUCAGCAGAGCCUGGUAUGCGUGGGUGAGAAUGGCAUGGACUCAUCCGCUUUCCUGAGCUGACUUGUUGAAACUGUCACACUCAUGCUCACCUAAUGGCUGCAGCAAAUAAACCAAGUAUAAAUGCCGCAGAGUUGGCCAUCUUAGCCCUGGCCUAUUACCUUCAUCUCUCCCUUGCUCCUCUGCAUACCGUCAGGUCAGCAGCAUUGGCUCCCCCUGGAAGCUGGAGAGAAAGGCAAAAUCUGUGGCCCUCUCCCCAGACCAUCCGAUCAGAAUCUGCAAUUUCACAAGAUCCCCAGGUGAUUCAUAUGCACGCUAAGGUCUCAUCCACACUGAAGACAGAAACAGUCUAUGCAUUAGGUUGUCCCUGGAUCUGUUUUCCAUGGUUCCUGCCCUUUGAUUUUAUGCUCCUUAUCAAGGAUGGCCCCACCUACCACACCCAUAAUUCCUCAACAUAUAUUAAAGGCUCAAGCAAAUGUCUCAUGGAAAGAGGCCAGGACAUCUUCUGGAAGCCACAGAUGGCAGACCCUCUGGAGAGCCACAAAAGAGCCUAGAUCAUCUUUCCAGCAAGCAUUCUGCGGCAUGUUCCCUUUGAGGUAAUUUACUGCAUGUCACUGUCUUUAGGGCAGACCUUCUGAAAGGAUCUGGAAAGAAUCUAAACUAAUGGUUUGGAACUUUUAUAGUUACACAUUUCUAGCGAGGUGUAUAAAGGGUUUGAGUUGAAAGAGCCCGGAGGACUGUGGCAAUAAGCUUCUGGUAAGGACACAGAGAAGUCUGAAGCAGUAAAUUAAAGUACUGGAUGCCCUUAAUACUACUCAACUUCUCAGCAUGAGUCAGGCUCAAUUUCCCAGCCUGGGUUACAAGUUUAUCUUCUCUAAGGAUUGUGAAGGCAGCUGCAGAGGCAGGGGAUGAGGGAUGGAGUUGUUCUGAGGAAGGGUGUGCUUGGAAGAUCUGUUGGGGUCUUGAAAUUCUCCAGGAAGGUUCAAGAAC
rnacentral:lncRNA from 1 species